GACGAACGCUGGCGGCGUGCUUAACACAUGCAAGUCGAACGGAAAGGCCCUGCUUUUGUGGGGUGCUCGAGUGGCGAACGGGUGAGUAACACGUGAGUAACCUGCCCUUGACUUUGGGAUAACUUCAGGAAACUGGGGCUAAUACCGGAUAGGAGCUCCUGCUGCAUGGUGGGGGUUGGAAAGUUUCGGCGGUGGGGGAUGGACUCGCGGCUUAUCAGCUUGUUGGUGGGGUAGUGGCUUACCAAGGCUUUGACGGGUAGCCGGCCUGAGAGGGUGACCGGCCACAUUGGGACUGAGAUACGGCCCAGACUCCUACGGGAGGCAGCAGUGUGGAAUAUUGCACAAUGGGCGGAAGCCUGAUGCAGCAACGCCGCGUGCGGGAUGACGGCCUUCGGGUUGUAAACCGCUUUCGCAUGUGACGAAGCGUGAGUGACGGUAAUGGGUAAAGAAGCACCGGCUAACUACGUG
rnacentral:rRNA from 1 species